rnacentral:lncRNA from 1 species
CAUAUAAGUAUAGCAGGACUGAUCGGGUGCAGACGAAACUCUUGCUAAAAUUCUUUGCUUGCUUCUUCAAAAAGGUUUGGUGUCUAAAUACGUAUGGCUCCAACUCAAGACCACUGCAAGUUCUUUAUUUUAGGGUGGGUAAAGGAACUAGAAAAAGUCAACUUUGCCACUUUGCUUUUGGUAGCUUUGGAAAAGGUGUUGCCUUCCGAAGGAGUCAUGAAAAUCCAUGAGGUCAUCAUGCGUGAUAUCAAUAAGUAUAAAGAGAUGACGAGCUUAGAUCGGUGGAUAGAGAAGAGAGGCAGAUGUUGUUGAAGCAAAGCACCAUGGAAAUGCAUGUACCUCUAUCUACAAACAUUUUUGGUUCAUACUUCGGAUAGAAGCUUUAAUAGAAGCAUCAAAAUGGGUGCUUCAGCUAUUGCCUUUUAUAAACAGUAGGUUAGCAUCUUAAGUCAGUCAUCCAUAAGAAUCCUCAAACAAUUUUAGGAAUAUGACUAUAUGUUGCAAAAUGUCCUUUUGUGAGUCAAUCAAGAAAAUUGUUUCCCACAGCUGGACUCAGACCAAAAUAUAGCUAUUUUAGGAGUCAAAUUUUACUCAAAAGUCAUGAACAUACCUUGUUCCUUCGUACAGAGGAGCAUCCUUUAUCAACAUUUGUCUUACCACCAAAGAGCAGGGUUGCUUUAGGCUUUUGUACUACUAUGAACCAUCACUGACCAAGCCUCUACAACAGAUGGAGGAUAGAUGAGGACAGAUUGCGAAGUGAUUACUGUUUCUUAGGCAUCCGUUGUUGUUCAAGCUAAUGUGUACAAACAUUGAGAGAAGCUAAAUAUUAAAAAUUUCUCAAAAGCUGUUAUUCCAGUCAAAUCAUGGACAUUUCUGUACCAAAGAAGGAACGUACAAUCCAGUAAAAGAAUCAGAUAAUAUCCCUGAAACUCCGUACUAGGUAUGAAGAACCCAAUCUAGCUACAAGGGUGUAAAUAUACGUUUAUUAAUUACACGUUAUCUCUAGUGACAGGGUGCACUGUGAUUAUUGACAAUCUCUUCCACCAAAUGAAUAGGUGUGCAGCAUGUACCUUCUCAGCACCAGAAUCUUGACAUUUUUUCAAAAGAAAUUCAGGAAGGGCAAUUAAUUGAGUCAUCAGAAUCAUAUUCGGAAAAUAAAUCACAAUCUGACUCCAUUUCAGAACCAAGCCCAUUUCCACAAGCUUUAGAACAAUCUUUGAUGGGUCCUCAAGACCUACAUUGGCAGUUUGCUUGUAUAAGCCCCUGCUUCUAUCCAUAAAUCCUUUUCUCAUCAUGCUAGCAAAUCUUUCUCUAAUAUCAACAAGGGGAUGUCUCUGAAUAAGUCGUUGACAAUCAUAGGCUUCCCUAAGAACAACAGUUUGUGUAUCACACAUCUUGGAAAUAUAAACGAUGCCAGGAUGGCGCCCAAACACCUUAGUAAACUUCUGAGGCGGUGACAACAGUUUGUGUAGAUUACUCACAUUUUGACGUUUAGUUUUCUUCUCUAUCCUAAGGUGAAGAAGCUCAUGAAUUCUCUUCUCUGACACACCAGUACGUGGAUCCAAUAAAGUGAAGUAUAAGGUAGUUUCUGCCAUUCCUUUAACCACUCCACGCAUUUCCUCUUCAAUCCAAAACCACUUGUAAAUCCUAUUGGAAAGGCUAAACAGUUAUUUUUCAAAUCUUCCUCCAUUUGCAGAAAAGCAUUCUUCUCCAAUUGGGAAACAGCAAGUGUAUCAUCCCAUGAUAAAAGUUUCAAACCAAAGCGAUCAUCAGCAAGGUGAACAAAAGAAAAUAAAUCAGGGUAAGUUGGAAUGAAGGUUUUGCUGUAAUCAUAAGGAAAUCCCAAAUCCCAUUUCAGCUGGUCAAUAGUUUGUAAAGGAAGGGUCCUAUCCUUGGUAAGCUUCAGCAAUUUGCAGAGCCUGUGAAACAAAUCAAUCACACUCUCCUGGAUAACACCAACUUCUUCAUGGUAAAGAUUUAAGGCUUUAGCGCUCAAGGAACACGAGGGCCACCACUGUCAAGCACACAAGACUCAUGAAAAAUGGUGGGGCAUCUCCUCAUAAAUAUGGAUAGCUUAAGAUUAUGGGGCAGACCGAGUUGACCGAUAUGCCGGGUAAGAUGGUAAAUGGGGAGACAGCAAUUGGAAGCAGAGGAAAGGAUGGAAACAAGAUUGCAGGCUGCUCUUAAAUCUCUUUCACCAGCCAUAACGGCAUCUAAGGCUUUACCUUUAACCCAUUUCAACAUAACAUUAACUAGACUGAAAUUCUGCUGGUAAUUAAAUCCCAUCCUCAACCCACAUGAAAAUCUAGAAACUUUUGCUUUUCCACACAAAAACCAAUAACCCAUGUCCUUAUUUUAAUAGAAAAAUGAUUAUAAAUCAAUAAUAAGAUGCUCCCAAGUUCACCAAUAAAACAGCCUUAGCAACACCUACGAGACAAAGACAAGUACCCAGAUUAAGAUUUUUGGUAAUUCUGCAUAUACUGCUUUGUAAAGUAAAUAAACGAGAGAAAAAGGACAGGAAGGAAAAAUAGUUAAUUCCUGUAAGACAAUUUAUCAAACAUGUAAAGUGCAACUAUGCCGCGAUAUGAAAUCUGCUUACCUUAAUGAGGCUGAGCUGAAACACCUCAACGAUUAAAACUUGGAUGUCCUUUUAGAGGUUUUAAGUUUGAAUCUUGAGAAGAGACUGAGAAGCGUGAGAUUAUAAUCAUUACAAAAAAAAAAAAUUGAAAGCAAAAUAUUUUAAAAAGUCGUGCGAAAUUUUCAAUUUGAAAGUAAAUUUGUCUCUGUGCAGCAAAAGCACUUUUAUUUUCAGGCAUUAACCAAGUACAGUAAGGAUUUAUAACAAUUUGAGUGCAUGAAUGGCAGGAGCAAGAAUGUUUUUGGAAGCAUAUUCAGAUGCUUGCAUUGAACAGUAAACAGAAUGGGAGUGUAAUUUACCAAAUAUAGGUACAAAAACUAGUUUAAUUAGAAAAAUUGGUAAUUGAGACCGAAAUUUUACUUUCCUGGAAAAAAAAUAGCAUGCCUAAAUAAUCAUAUGUUUUGUAUUUACAUAUAUGAUUUGAGUUUUAUGUAAUUUUAUCAAUAUAAUAGAGUUAGAUUAAACUCUUUCAUAAGUUUAAACUAUCACUUCUUUAUUUUUUAUUUUUCUGUUUUAUCAUUUAAGAAAAGUUAAAAUUCGAACUUAUUUUUCUUCAAAAAGAAUUGAACUUAUUUAUGAAAUUAUGAUAAAAAUUUUCAAAUUUGACCUGAAAACUUUUACGUGUAAUGAAGUAAAAUAAAAAUUUAAUCUUCAGUUUCCAAGUUCAAAUUUUAUGAUUCACAUAAGAAAAUUAGCAACAAAAAGUGUUAAUGGAAGAAUCAGAUAGAAAUAAUUUCAUAAAAAGUCAACAAGUGAUACAUUUAAACAAUACAACAUAUACCCACUUUAUUGUCAUUACAACCACAAUGUCAAAUUAAAAGGAAUUUCUAAGUGAAUAAUCAAAAGCAAUCCAAGCCUCACACAUUCUAAGUUCAGAUGCCUACAUUACAUUUAAACUUAUAAUUGAAAAAUAAGUUACAAUUACAAAAAUAACAAGCAUUACAAGUAACAAAGUAUAGACCAGACUCUGGUUAUGCUUUCUUGCAAAUGAAGUGGAAGUUUUCAAGUAUUUUGACCAAUAAGACCUCCAUCUAGAUUUUUCUCGAGAUGUGAAAUUACCACCAUAAAUGUUUUGAUACUAUACAUCUCCAGUGGACAAUAUAGUUGCAUCCAGAAGUAACACAUUCGAGAGCCAAAUUUUGACAAGGCUUACCACAUUUAAUGCACUUAGGGUAGUAAUAAAUCUUUUUCACAAAGAUGAGAGGGUGUGGAUGAUCUCCUUCUUUGUAGAUACUCCCCAAUUUGAUAUAUCGAAGGUCUUCAAGAACACAAUCCUUAUGAGCAGAAGUAUCACAAGUUGCACAAUGAUAAAACCAAUUAUUUGAAUCUCUUCUUUCCUCACAAAUGUCACAAAAACGACAUUCUGAAUAAUCAUUAUCAUCUUUAUAAGUGAGUGUAAGAACAUGUUCAUCGCAUUUGUGUCGAGUUGUAAGUGGUAGUCUAACACAUCUCGUACAUAAAGCAAAAUUGCAACCCUUACAACAGUAUCCUCGAUACAUGUCAUCACCACAAGUAGAACACGCCACUUCACACUCGACAUAAAAAAGAAGGGGGUGUUCAUGUCCUUGACAUGUUAGAGUAUCAGGAGUUAGAGUUACACAUCGAAGGCAUAGAUGACCGUCACAUUCAUUACAUUUAUAGGCAAAGGCAUUAGAUAGGUGAUAACAUGAGUGACAUCUAAAAAGGUGGCCUGAAGUAAGGAUGAGGGAACUUUUCUGGCAAUAAUCAAGCCAAACAGGCUUCAUCAUCUUAGGUAAUUCAGCACAGGCUUUAUGAAGAAAGAAAUCACAUUCUGAACAAUAGUAAAAGGAAGCUGAGAUAGGUAACAUGCACCCCUCACAACAUUUAUCAUACCUCGCAAUUUUCUCACCUAACAUCAAGUCAUGCAUAUGCUUGAAAUGUUUUAUUUUUGUGGCUUCUCCAGCAUCAUUCUUCUCAAUAAUACAAUAGAUGGAGUCAAUAGAUUCACCAGGCAAAAGUGCCAAACUAUCGAUAGAUUUCUCAUCUUCAUUCUCAGGUGAAACUAUAUAAUACCAGCUUUUAUUUUUUGUCACGCAAUUCACAUGGGCAAUAAUUUUGCAAUCUGAACAAUAGUAACUGCCGUGCUCCGCAUUGACCUCAUCGUGACAAAUUACGCAAUCCCUAUUCUUAAGAUCUUCAUCAAGGAAAUAUGUGUGAAAAAUGGGAUGGUGAUGCCACCUGCUUUUGAUGAUGCGUGGCAAUGAAGUGCAUUGCUUAUGAACCAUAAUAUUGCAUGUAGUACAUAUGUAGGCAACAUGAUUUCCUUCAGUGCCACAGGCAUCACAAAUGAAAGGAGCUCGUCUCCAAAACAAGGUGAAUGGGUGUUGAUGAAUUUUAUCAGGCGAUGUUGGUACACAAUCAAUGUGAACAGCAACCUCGCAAGGCAAGCAACAAUAAACAAAUCCUCUUUCUUGGGUUUCUUGGCAUAUGUUGCAAGAAAACCUUUCAAUAUUGAAUUGGAGACCAAGAGGAUGUUUGCGGUGACACAUAUGAUUGAUUUUGAGAGGUAAUUCAGCACAUUUUUUAUGGAGAUGGAAUCCACAAUCAAGAGAAAAGUAGGUAGAACUUAGCAACGGUUUGCAACACCAGAAACACUGAAAACUUUCAAGUUCUUCACCAUCGUUGUCGGUGGAAAUCAAUGGAUCUUCAAGAGCAACAUGUUGAAGCUCUUCAACAUUUUUUUGAGCAAUAUUAUAUGUAAAUAAAGCACACGCGAUAUGAAAGUAUAAUUUGCAAGAGCAAUGAUAAAUGGAACCCUUACAUAUCUUAUCACAAAAAUCGCAAAUGCAGAAUAAUGCUUGAGCAUAAGGUGAACUUUGCAGGAGGAGGAGAGGAUGCUUAGGAUGAAAAGGGUGAUUGAUCUCCAGGGGUGCCUCAGCACAUCUCUUAUGGAGGUAAAACCCACACUCCACACAGCUAAAACUUGGAGCUGACAGUGUCACCUCCUCCUCACACCUUGAGCAGUAAGCUUCUUCACUGGGCGUGCUCUGCCCUUCAUUCAACACCAGGGGAUGCUCAUGUCCAAAAUUUUCAGACUCACUCAUCUCUCCUUUCUUUUUGUGUCUGCCCCUGAUUUGGAGGUUAAGAGAAAGGUUUCAACGCAAAAGAGAUUAAAAGCCAAGAAGGGUGCUUCCGGAUUUGGGAAAUUGGGAGAGAUUUGAGAGGGAGGUUCUUGGGAGGAUGGAAAGAAUCAAGGUCAACGCUCAUAUUUACUUGUUAGUAGCAAUUCUGCAACGAGUCUUUUAUUAUUAUUAUUAUUAUUAUUGUUAAAUUGGAUGCAUUAUUUGUCUGUGCGGUCGUCAUUCUACUUGCUUGGCUAUGUUAUAUCGUAUAUAAUAAAUAUGACACUAGUGGUAGUAAUUAACGUAUCUUUGGCAUCCUUUCAAUAUUUUAAAAUUCUUACAAAAUCUAAUCUAUAUCUAUAUAUAUAUAUAUAAUGAAUCUUGUCACAUAACCGUUGGUUUGGUUGUCAAUAAAAGCAGCAAAAAUGGGCUUCAUAAUUUACUCAUUUUGAUAGGCAACUCUACAUUAUACGGUAGGGAAUAUUUGAAACUAUUUUAAAAACCAUUACGCUAAAUGAAUUGAAUUGUCUACUGUUCCUCCUGGUUUAUAAUUAUCAUUUCCUUUUCCUUGAUUCCAAAAUAUAAAAAUAAAAAAUUAUAUUAAUAUUUUAAUGAUAAAAUUAUUAAUAAUUUAANAAAAUAUUAUAAAAAUAAAAAUUAUAUAAUAUUUUAAUGAUAAAAUUAUUAAUAAUUUAAUACUAAAUAUAUUUUUAAUAUUUUGAAAAGAAGAAGAAAUUGUAAAAGAAAAAUAAGAAAAGGAAAAUUAACACAAAAUAUCAUAUUAAUAUUUUAAUACUAUGUAAUAAGCAUUUUAUUAAAAAGAAAUUAAAAGAGAAAAAGGGGAAAAUGAAAAUAUAAAAAAAAUCAUAUUCAUAAUUUAAUAAUAAAUUAUUAAUAUAAUUUUAAUUAAAAAUAAAAUUAGAAGAAAAAAAUUGGAAAAUGAAAAUAGAGAAAUAAUACAAUAAUAAAAUAAAUAUCAUAUUAAUAUAUUUAAUAACAAAUUAUUAUUUACUAAUAGCAAUCCCAAAAACCAAUGAAUUUCAAAAAGCUCAAAAUUUUUAUUUAAAUUAUAAUAAAAGACUUCAUUUUAUCACUUAUUCUUUUAUGAUUGUAAAAUUAUUUUUAUCAAUCAAACACUGAAAUAAUGUCAAAAUUAAAAUUUCAUUUUAUUAAUCAAACUAUAUGAAUCUCUAUUUUAUUCUAUUAUAUCUUAUUCUACUCUAUAUAAUAAUUAUUUUAUGUUUCCUCUAUUUAAUUCCGAUACUCAAUUUUGCCACUUAUCUUUCCGUAGCUUUGGAAAAGGUGUUGCCUUUUAAAGGACUGAGAUCAAAGAAAAAUAAAGAAAUGAAGAGCUCAGAAUGGUGGAUAGAGAAGAAAGGCAUAUGUUGUCGUUGAAGCAAGCAGCAUGGAAAUGUAUCCGUGAACGUUACAGCCAUAUCUAGCCCAAAAGAGAAAAUGUCAGUUAUGUCCUCUACUCCAUCUAUUCUCCUAAGAUUACAAAGUAACAAACAGACACGUGUGAAACUGCUGUCUCAUUUGAUUUCAUGAUUUAUAAGCUCUGCUCUGCUCUGUUCUGUGCUUAACAGAGUUUCUAACAGCAGAUUUUGAUGGACCAAUCAUAUUCUCAUUGACUCCUCUGAACCCUUCCCGAUUACUCUGUCUUUCUCUCCUUUCAUGGCGAUCGCUGCUGCUUCUUCCUUCUCCGUCGGUAAUCACACUCAACCAGCAUAAUAUGUUUACGAUAAUAUGUUUUUUAUGUUUAAAUUGAUUAAUAAUAGCAAUCGAAAAAGCAGGAUAGAGAUUACGUUUUGUUAAUUGAUUAAGUAUCCAUUUCGAUUUCCAUGUUUUAAGGCAAAUACUUUUCCCUUCUUUUUUAUAGUUAAGUUGUUUUAGUCGAUCUGAAGUUGUGUAAUUAGUUUCCUGCUUGUUUGCUGAUGAUGAAGCAACUACUUCAUUUUACUACUAACUUUUCCCUAAACUUUUUUUUCUCUUGUUUAUUCCCAUAAUUUUAAAAUGAUAAGAAAAACUUGAAAUUGGGUAUUCCAGUAAUGUCAAAUUUUAUGUGUGUUUAAGAAGAAAGUAUUUUUUAACUGUUGAAUGAAGAAAAUAACUUUGAAAACCCUCACUGCGAAAAUUUUAUGAGAUUCAUAUAUCCUUUUUAUGGCUAUCAUUAGAAUACUGACAUGCAAGUGGGUAAGCUCAUGUUUUGGUUUCAGUUGAUUUUCAUUUAUUUAGUUGCUAAGAAUUUUUUUUAUAUUAUUUAUAAAUUUAUGAAAUGGGAUUAGUAGAGCCAUUGGCCUUAUCAAAUAGUUAAAACAGUAUAAAUUUCAUUUCACCAAGAAGUGAACCUUUCACAAAGUAAUUGGUACCUGGUCUUGGGUUCUAUAGUUGAUUUCCGGAUGCAUGUGGUUUUUACUUCUAAUAUGAGGUUUAGUACUUAUUUUUUUCCUUCAUACUGGAUGUGCAUAAAAUUCUAAGGAAUGCACAUUUGGUGAAUAUUUGUUUCUACAUUUUACUAUUCUAUUUAAGUAUGAUGUUUGCAUUUGCAUUUUCAUGACAUUUUUUUUAACCCCUUUCUUAUUGCACGGAGCUAUCAGGUCCUUCCCAGUGUCAUUUAUGUUAAGUGGAAGGGGUUUAUUACUCACCAUUACAUGGGGUUAACAGCAGUUGGGUCAAAACUACAGUUGAUGGCUGCAGAGCUAGCGACCUGUCUGGCAUGAGGUGCAAAAAUAGUUAUUUGUUUAAGGUUAUAUGGGAAAGAGAAAACCAUUUCUCGAUUGUGUAAAAUUGAUCUGGUUUUCUUUAUGGAUUUGUUUAUGAUUUUGAUAGCAGUAUUUGUCCAUUUCUUUGGGAAGCCAUAUAUUUUUGAAAGCUUAGAUUUUAUUGAACAUGCAUCUUGAUUGUUGAGUUAUAAGCAUAAGUUACAUAAUAUUUGAUAUUUUGGCUAACUGCAUUUGUUGUGUUAUGAUUGUUUAUCCUGAGAGUUUUUGGUAUUGUUGUAGUGUUGUCAGGUGAGAGUCAAGUCUGUGUUGUGAAUAUCAUUCUUUUUAGCUUAUUGUACAAAUUGGUGACCAGCAACUAUUUCUUUGCCCACCUGAGUAGGAAAGCAAUAAUAUUGUUAAAAUAUGUCUUGUGGAUCCUUUAAUUUGUUAAACUAUGGGUUUUUGUAUUAGCUUGGCUAAUGCAAUGAUGAUGUUGCGGGUAACACCGUAACACUUCCAUUGUUGCUGGAAGUUCUUGUUUGUUUUUGGUCAAGGGGAAAAACAUGUUCUAUGGUUCAAUUGCCUCCACUUCAAUGUUGUUUGAGUUCAAGGCAAUUCUACACCCAAAUAUGUUAACUUACUCAUGUCUGGUUGUGUAAUAUUAUAAGGUUUAGUUAAUAUAGGACAUUUAUAUGGAAUGAAUGUAGUGUGGAUUGUUUGGGAGAUGACCAUGGGUACAUUCAGUGUCAAAAAAAAAAAGAGGUAACAUGUGAAGCAUGGUCCUAUUUAGCAUCCAUCAACAAUUGACUCUAGUGCUUUCUAGGUCCCUUUUUAACUUUUGCACAAAUAAGUUGAUUAUUUAUAUACAAAUUAGACUACAUUUUACCAUCCGAUCUUCUUAGCUGUUUUGGAUUUUUUGCGACUUUUUCAUAUGAAACUUAGUUUUUUUUUAGAUCCUUGGUUAAGAAGCAAUUUUUCAUUUCAUAUUCAGAUGCAGGAGUCCAUUUUUUGAAUCAACAUAAUUUUAUUGGUGUUUAAAUGUAUAAACGUAUAAGUAUAUUAUCGUGUUUAAUCAUAUUAUGGUGUUUAAACAUGUAUACAUGACACGUUUAUCAAUUUGUUAAAAAUUAAUAAUCAAAAACCAUUUUAACCUUACUUAAAUAAUUUUGAACAAUUAUUUUAAUAAAAAUUUUAAAUUUUAUAAAGAUAACAAUGUAAUUAUGCCAUGUCUAACUUUAAUUUUAAAUUUUAUUUUAUUAUAUUUGAUGUUAUUAUCAUUUUUUUGUUAUAAUUUUUUUAUAAUUAUUGAUUUUAAAUUACAAUAAUAAAAUUAUAUUUAAUUAUAAAUAUUUUUAUUUAAUCGUGUUAAAUGUGUUACUAAUCGUAUUGUGUCAUAUAUUGAUAUAUUUAACAAAUGUGUUAAUUAUGUUUUAUCGUGUUAUACGAUUAUUAAAUAUAUAUGUAUACAUAUUUCAAAUUUAAAAUAUAAAUAGUAUUCAUAUUAUUUUCAUAUUUAAUUUUAAUAUAUUUUAUAUUUAAUCGUGUAUAAUUUAAGACACAAAAAUAUGAAUUGGUAGAUCUAACUACUCAAAAUUACUGCAAGUUAUUUAUUUUAAGGUGGGUAAAGGAAGGAAAAAAGUCAACCUUAACACUUUGCUUUUGGUAGCUUUGGAAAUGGUUCUGCUUUCUAAAGGAGACAUGAAAAUCUAUGAGGUCAUCAUGAGUGAGAUCAAGAAGAAUUAAGAGAUGCAGAGCUUAGACUGGUGGAUAAAGAAGGGGGCAGAUAUCGUUGAAGCAAAGAACCAUGGAAAUGCAAGUACUUCUAUCUACAACAUUUUUUGUUCUUACUUCGGACAGAUGCUUUAAUAGAAGCAUCAAAAUGGGUGCUUCAGCUAUUGCCUUUUAUUAAUGGUAGGUUAACAUCUUAAGUCAGUCAUCUAUAAGAAUCAUCAAACAAUUAUAGGAAUAUGACUAUAUGUAGCAAAAUGUCCUUUUACGAGUCAAUCAAGAAAAUUGUUUCCUACAAGCUGGACUCAGACAAAAAGAUAGCUAUUUUAAGAGUCAAAUUUUACUCAAAAGUCGUGAACAUACCUUGUUCCUCCGUACAGAGGAGCAUCCUUUAUCAACAUUUGUCUUACCACCAAAGAGCAGGGUUGCUUUGGGCUUUUGUACUACAACGAACCAUCACUGACCAAGCCUCUACAGCAGAUGGAGGAUAGAUGAGGACAGAUUGCGAAGUGAUUCCUGUUUCUCAGGCAUCCUUUGUUGUUCAAGCUAAUGUGUAUAAACAUUGAGAGAAGCUAAAUAUUAAAAAUUUCUCAAAAGUGGUUAUUCCAGUCAAAUCAUGGACAUUUCUAUACCAAAGAAGGAAUGUACAAUUCAGUAAAAGAAUCAGAUAAUAUCCCUGAAACUCCCUACUAGGCGUGCAGAACCCAAUCUAGCUACGAGGGUGUAAAUAUAUGUUUAUUGACAGGGUGCACUGUGAUUAUUGACGAUGUCAUCCACCAAAUGAAUUGGAAAGUUGACAACUUAUUCGCAGCAUGUACCUUC